rnacentral:rRNA from 1 species
CGGGUUGUAAAGUACUUUCAGCAGUGAGGAAGGUGGGUAUGUUAAUAGCAUACUCAUUUGACGUUAGCUGCAGAAGAAGCACCGGCUAACUCCGUGCCAGCAGCCGCGGUAAUACGGAGGGUGCGAGCGUUAAUCGGAAUUACUGGGCGUAAAAGCGCAUGCAGGUGGUUUGUUAAGUCAGAUGUGAAAGCCCGGGGCUCAACCUCGGAAUUGCAUUUGAAACUGGCAAACUAGAGUACUGUAGAGGGGGUAGGAAUUUCAGGUGUAGCGGUGAAAUGCGUAGAGAUCUGAAGGAAUACCGGUGGCGAAGGCGGCCCCCUGGACAGAUACUGACACUCAGAUGCGAAAGCGUGGGGAGCAAACAGGAUUAGAUACCCUGGUAG